ACUCCCAAACCCAAUGUGAACGUUACCAAACUGUUGCCUCGGCGGGAUCUCUGCCCCGGGGGCGUCGCAGCCCCGGACCAAGGGGCCCGCCGGAGGACCAACCAAAACUCUUAUUGUAUACCCCCUCGCGGGUUUUUUUAUAAUCUGAGCCUUCUCGGCGCCUCUCGUAGGCGUUUCGAAAAUGAAUCAAAACUUUCAACAACGGAUCUCUUGGUUCUGGCAUCGAUGAAGAACGCAGCGAAAUGCGAUAAGUAAUGUGAAUUGCAGAAUUCAGUGAAUCAUCGAAUCUUUGAACGCACAUUGCGCCCGCCAGUAUUCUGGCGGGCAUGCCUGUCCGAGCGUCAUUUCAACCCUCGAACCCCUCCGGGGGGUCGGCGUUGGGGAUCGGCCCUCCCUUAGCGGGUGGCCGUCUCCGAAAUACAGUGGCGGUCUCGCCGCAGCCUCUCCUGCGCAGUAGUUUGCACACUCGCAUCGGGAGCGCGGCGCGUCCACAGCCGUUAAACACCCAACUUCUGAAAUGUUGACCUCGGAUCAGGUAGGAAUACCCGCUGAACUUAAGCAUAUCAAUAAGCGGAGGAAAAGAAACCAACAGGGAUUGCCCCAGUAACGGCGAGUGAAGCGGCAACAGCUCAAAUUUGAAAUCUGGUCCCUAGGGCCCGAGUUGUAAUUUGUAGAGGAUGCUUUUGGUGAGGUGCCGCCCGAGUUCCCUGGAACGGGACGCCACAGAGGGGUGAGAGCCCCGUCUGNGCUGGCCGCCNAGCCUCUGUAAAGCUCCUUCGACGAGUCGAGUAGUUUGGGAA
rnacentral:rRNA from 1 species